UACGUAGGGUGCGAGCGUUAAUCGGAAUUACUGGGCGUAAAGAGUGCGUAGGCGGUUUUUUGAGUCCGCUGUGAAAGCCCCGGGCUUAACCUGGGAAUGGCAGUGGAAACUAGAGAACUUGAAUCUGGCAGAGGGGGGUGGAAUGCCACGUGUAGCAGUGAAAUGCGUAGAUAUGUGGCGGAACACCGAUGGCGAAGGCAGCCCCCUGGGCUGAGAUUGACGCUCAGGCACGAAAGCGUGGGGAGCAAACAGG
rnacentral:rRNA from 1 species